CGAACGCAGCAGAAUAUGUAAAUACCGGCGGCUCACAGGAAGUUUAGCCUGUAGUUAGGGACUGGCAGUGAAUCAGUAACAUUUGUAUGCUUUGGAACCGCCGUGAGUUCGCCCUGACGUCGGUCGACCAAGCCUUCCGGACUUACAGCGCACUCCUUUACCCCGGCUCUGGCGCUUUCCAAGGACAACGCUGGCCCAGCCUGCGGUGAGGGCUCUGUGCAGCCCCGCCCCUCCACCACGGUUACCACGGCAAUUCCAGAGAAGCAGGCCGCUGUGAGCUCCAGAGAGCUGAAUGACCAGCACUGCUGCUCCUGCCCAUCUCUUCACCGAUCAGAGAGGCUCAGUACAAUUAAAAAUUACCCCCAACAUUACUGCUCCCCGCCGUAAAACAGGCGCCCAGCCAAGACGCCUAUUUCUGGCCUGUUAGUCUCAGGAAGGACCUUUGGCUGCUUUAAUGGAGCCGAGCUACAGAGAGCUUCUGUGUGGCUGACUGCCAUCACUUCUCUUACAGAGAGACUGACGGGCUCGUCAUCUGGAGCCUGCCGCCAUUAUGGCUCUUACAGAGAGACUGACGGGCUCAUCAUCUGGAGCCCCCCGCCAGGUUGAGUGAGAGUGCGCCCCCCCCCCCCCCCCCCCUCCCCAGCCCCGGGCCCGGGGGGAAAUGCUGCGGGAUGUCUCAGUCAUGAUUUUAAGUAUUUUUUAGGUAAAUUGAUUUUGUUGGGGGGGCGGGUGUGUGACUGCUCGUCACAGUGCAGGGCUGAUGGGUAAAUGUGCCCAAUCUCUCAACCAGCCCCUUCUUUGGGGGGUCGCGGCUCCUCCUGCUGCCAUGGUUACUGAAUGACACUGAUCAGAUUGUAGUGUAGGCCUUGAGGAGGUGCUGACAGGAUAUGACAUCAUCAAGCCAAAGCGGGCUCUGUCCGUUGGACUCUUCCAUAGCUGCGCAGUGACCAUGACGACCAAACUUCAUGUCACAGUAUUCCAGUUUGCAUUUCUCACCCACCGAAGCAUGUAAUGAUUGUCGUGUGUUUAUUUGUGUUGGAUGCAGCACGCUGCACACAGCAGUGAGCCGUUUCACAGAACACACUGCCUGCGUGUUCUCUGAGGCUGAGAAAAGCAAACAAAAACAAGAACAUCGCAACGUAGUCUUAAUUAGGACAUCAGUUAAAAUAUUGACCGUGAAAUGUAACAAAGACCUUGUUCUGGAUUUAAAGACCAUGCUUUCCAGCUGCGGUCAGGUGUGGUUCAGCUGCGAUGGGAAGAAUGUUUUUUUUUGGGGGGGGGGUGUCUUUGUUUAGGUAGGGCCAUGAGGUGGCAGAGAAAGCCUGUGCUAAUUGUUGUUAAACUCUGUCCCUCCAUGAGUCUCUGGACGCUGUGUUUCUGUAAAACCCCGGUCCACCCUGAGCCCUGGGGGAGGGGGGCUGUUUGUUAUUGUUGAGAAUGUUGGAAGCUCUGGUUAUUGACCUCCAGCUGCAGUUUUGGCAAGGGCCAGGUCUUGGCUGAAGUAGGACUGACCUCCCCCCCCCUCCCCCCCCCCAAAUCACCCAUCAUGAGAAACGGGGUGUCCUCACGCAGGAAACAUAAAAAUUGAAACAUCAUCAUCCUCCAAUUCUGAUGGGAAAAUCUGGUAUCUGUCCCCACCCCGCCCGUAUCUGUGCUAGCGCUGCUGGCUAUGCGCAGGCCGCUGUGCGCAGUGCUCCGCGGAGCCGAGUUCCCAGCUGUGGCUGCCCCCGCCCCGAUGAAAACGUCUGUCAGAGAAAAGCGUCCUCGCGCCAUUCUCAGGACCAAAUACGGAAAGUAAUCUACUAACCUUUGACGAGCGACAGGUGUCUUUUAACGGUAAAUAUCCCAUAUAUUCAGCACUUAAUCAUUUUGAUUGUCAUCACAACUGGUUAUGUUUUCCAAUGUUAAAAAAUUUAAAAGAGAAAAAUAAUGAAAUAAAAAGACACCGCAAUACACAGAAUAAACACAACUUAAUGAUUGCAGUGUGUGGGUAGCCUGCACAGUAAAACUGUUCAGUGUUAAAUCAACUCUUAGGGUACACAAAGUCCCAAAUGGAUUUAUAUUUACUCUGUUACAGUUGAAUUAACAUACGACAUUCUAUUGUGUAAUCACUGUAAACUGAUAAUUAAUUUUUCGCUAAAAGCCGUCAUUGCACGCGCAUCAUUUGAAUCUUGGCAGGGCUGUAAUGGAGACCGCUGCGGAUUGACAUUUUGACCCCCGUCUCUCAUUAAGCCACGAAAGCGCGCCAUUCUUAUGCCUUCCUUUCGAAGAGGACAGUCGCUGCAGAUUAAGCCGUUAGGAGAGGGCAGCCAACCCCACUCACUCCGACCUAGCCUUUGAUUCAGACGAUAUGAGGGUUUCUUAAUGGAACUUUUAAAAAUAUAACGGCGUCUCAACUGUCUGCAUUAACGAAUUUUCUGUUUACAUAGACUCGGCCAGGCUCAGACUAAAUCUGUUUUUUUUUUUUUGAGGGAACGAGGUGCUCUUGCGACCAGGGACCUACUAAUUAGUCGACAGGUCAAUGUACUAAGGGUUAAAUUAAACUUAGUGGGAAGGCUAGUUUUGUUCCGCGAUGCGUAAUACUAAAAGUCUAAUGGAAACGCAGAGGUCAUCAUAACAAGCCAUUACUGUUUCUUCUCUCCGCGUCUCCGUGCUCUGGCAAUUCUCCCUCUUAAGUGACUGCUUUACCCCGUGUGUUAUGGCACCCGUGCGGCGCGCGUAGCAGGCCCGACCAGGCGCUGAUGCGUACGUGCAGCGGCGACUUCGCGCGGUUAUCAGUCGCUCCCGUGUUUACGGUGCCCCGCGCCGUUGGAAUAGCCCUGAGCUUCUCACCAAAGCCGAGCGCGCGCAGCUGUUUCGCUGUCCACAGGGCUGCCGCUGGCAAAAGCGAUUAAUUGUCGUAAUAAUACACGGCGGUGGAAACAAAACUACAAAUUAGCAGGUGGGGGAGGCGGCGGGGCGUGAUGAGAGGGCAGCGACGGGAACAGGUGUCCAACAGCCAGAUGUAAUGACUGACAAGUUAAACAUUUGACUUCUUAAUUUUUAUAUGUUUUUGUUCUUUCUUCCCCACAGUAGGAGAGAGCGAGAGAGAUUUUAUGUCACCGCCAAAUCUCCACAAUAAAUAAAUAUAAAUGCUAGCAACUUCUAUUAUUCGUUUUUUAAUUAUUUGGAAUUAACAAUGUCUCAGGGAAAGUCUUGGGACAUAAUUCGCGCAGUUAUAAGAGUGAUCUUUUUCGCUAUCUGCAUUGUAUUACAUUAAUUAAUUUUUUUUUUGCAUAUUCACAUUAUCACAUUACUCUGAUCCGUUUACAAACCAUGUCCACAAAAACAACAUCUGAAUGAAAUAAAGAUUUUGUAGACGCGCAAUUUAGACAAUCACGUGGUAGGUUUAGGCCUGCCAUACUUGCAGCAGAAAUAUAUUAUUAAUCCUUGUUGGAAAGAGAAAACGUGGGCAUUAAAUGUGCAGGAAAGCAAGGCAUGUCAUUUUCUAAAACGUUCUUUAUCAAUGCUCCAUGAAAUGGAGAACUGAAUCAUAAAUAAAUAGCCUAGUACAAACCCGACCUCUUUGACCUAGCCUGCCAGUGUAGCUAUCAUAAACUGCAGAAUAAACGAGUUAUUUUGCCUCAUAUUCCUGGAGGUGGAAACUCGUGAUUAUGAAUUCGUUGCAUAUAGUUUUUCAACUUAGCAUUAACGUGUUUGUUGUCAGUCCAGCGGUUAUUUAACCUAUGUAUACCAACGCCAGUGUAAGAACAACACGAUAGGCUACAGGUAUACAAAAAAAAAAAAAAAAAAACCCUGAAUCAUUUGCAUCGCUGCUGAUGCUCCGUGCUGGAUUUGCGUCUCUGAAAUAGCAGGUACGUUAAUGUAAUAAUGGCCGAGUCUGUUAGCUCGGCGAGCUGGCUUCUGCACGAGGUCUCUGAUUUGAAGGAUUCCAGUUUCUGUCGGCACG